UACGUAGGGUGCGAGCGUUAAUCGGAAUUACUGGGCGUAAAGCGUGCGUAGGCGGUUCGUUAUGUCUGCUGUGAAAGCCCCGGGCUUAACCUGGGAAUGGCAGUGGAAACUGGCGGGCUUGAGUGUGGCAGGGGGGGGUGGAAUUCCGCGUGUAGCAGUGAAAUGCGUAGAGAUGCGGAGGAACACCGAUGGCGAAGGCAGCCCCCUGGGCUGACACUGACGCUGAGGCACGAAAGCGUGGGGAGCAAACAGG
rnacentral:rRNA from 1 species